rnacentral:rRNA from 1 species
GCGCAGCAGUCGCGAAUCUUCCACAAUGGACGAAAGUCUGAUGGAGCGACGCCGCGUGCGGGAUGAAGGCCUUAUGGGUUGUAAACCGCUGUCAGGGGGAAGAACAUCGGAAUGAACAAUACUCAUUCCGACUGACGUUACCCCCAGAGGAAGCUCCGGCCAACUCCGUGCCAGCAGCCGCGGUAAUACGGGGGGAGCAAGCGUUGUCCGGAAUUAUUGGGCGUAAAGGGCGUGUAGGCGGCGAGGUAAGUCGAAUGUAGAAUCUCGACGGCUCAACCGUAGAAACUGCGUUACGAAACCUACCCUGCUUGAGUACGGGAGAGGUGU